AGCCCCUUAGCUCAGAGGCAGAGCAACGCUCCUACAAAGCGAAGGUCGACGUUUCGAAAUCGUCAGGGGCUACCA
rnacentral:tRNA from 4 species